rnacentral:lncRNA from 1 species
GCGCUAGCAUUUGUAUCCCAGACAGAAAGUCUGACAAAGGUUAUGUUACAUUGUGAUUACUUUUUUUUUUUUUUUGUCUUUUGUCCUUUUAGGGCCACACCCAGUGCAUGUGGAGGUUGCAAACAAAGCUUGGAUCCGGCAUUGCUGUGGCUGUUGUUUAGGCCAGCAGCUGCAGCUCUUAUUCAACCCCUAGCCUGGGAAUUUCCAUAUGCUGUGAGUGUGGCCCUGAAAAAGCAAAAAAAAAAAAAAUUUAAAAAAAAUUUUUUUUUUUUUUUGUCUGUGGCUGGUCCUUUCAUUCUUUUGAUAUUGUCACAGAGCAAAGUUUUUAAUUUUAAUUUUUUAAUUUAUUUAUUAAAGUAUAGUUGAUUUACAAUGUUGUGCCAAUUUCUGCUGUACGGUAGCGUGACCUAGUCAUACAUACAUAAACAUUCUUUUUCUCAUUUUAUCUUCCAUUAUGGUCUAGCCCAAGAGACUGGAUAUAGUUCCCUGUGCUAUACAUCACAUUCAAAACUAUUACAUUCUAGUUUGUAAUAGUUUGCAUCUACUGACCCCAAACUCCCAGUCCAUCCCACUCCCCUACCUCCCCCUUGGCAACCACAAGGCUGUUCUCCAUGUCUGUGAGUCUGUUUCUGUUCUGUAGAUAGAUUCAUUUGUGCCAUAUUUUAGAUUCUGACUUAACUUCACUUUAUAUGGGAAUCUCUGGUUGCAUCCAUGUUGCUGCAAAUGGCAUUAUUUUGUUCUUUUUUUGUGGCUGAGUAGUAAUCCAUUGUGUGUAUGUACAACAUCUUAAUCCAUUCAUCUGUUGAUGGACGUUAAAGUUGUUUCCAUGUCUUGGCUCUUGUGAAUAGUGCUGCAGUGAACAUAAGGGUGCAUGUGUCUUUUUGAAUUAUAGUUUUGUCCAGGUAUUAUAAUUACUUUUAGAAGUAAGAUUUUAUGUAAUUAUGUAGUAAUUAGUUUAGAACUAAGAUAUUAUUUAUAAUUUUGUUCUUAGGAAAUAAGUGUACAUCCUAAGAUCAAACGGAAGGAAAAUAUUUAUGGAAAAUAAUUUUGAUAGGUUUGUUAAAUCAGUAUGAGUACUUUAUUUAUCCCAAGGGCCACUCUGUAGGACUUGUGAAGAAUUUAGCCCUGAUAGCUUAUAUUUCAGUUGGAUAUCAACCUUCUCCAGUUCUGGAGUCUUUAGAAGAAUGGAAUAUGGAAAAUUUAGAAGAAAUUUCUCCUGUAGCUAUUGCUGACUGUGUAUAAAUACAGUUCUUUAGACACU